AUCAGAGUAGCGCAGCGGAAGCGUAGUGGGCCCAUAACCCACAGCCCAGGAUCGAAGGACUGGAUUGGCUA